ensembl:lncRNA
GGGUCUCAACCCCAGUCCUCUCCAACUGAAACUUGUCCAGCCUUUGCUCCUUCAUAGAGAAUGUCAUUAACACCAUGACCCACAGCGGCGUAGUCUAGUCCUCAGACCUACAGAGAUCCACUUGCCUCUACCUCCUGACUAUGAUUACAGGCAUGCACCACCAGGCUGGGUGAAAUUUACAUUUUCCAGACAACUGAAGUGUUUGAGGAAGUCCGAUCCACCAGCAGAGCGGGAUCUGUCCCUGCAUAGAGAGGAAACCAACGCCCUGAUGUCCCCUGGAAUCUCCUCGGCAGCCAGAGAUGCAAAACUCCAUCCGCUGGCUGUCCAUUCCUCAGGAUGUCCUACUCUUGGGGAACUUGCAGGACAGCCUGCGGCCAACAUGUGACCUACAGCAGGUCCUUGCAAUGAC